GAGUUUGAUCCUGGCUCAGGAUGAACGCUAGCGGCAGGCUUAAUACAUGCAAGUCGAGGGGCAGCAGCUUUAUAGCAAUAUAGAGGCUGGCGACCGGCAAACGGGUGCGGAACACGUACACAACCUUCCUUGAAUAGGGGGAUAGCCCAUAGAAAUGUGGAUUAAUACCCCGUAAUAUAGCGGUGUGGCAUCGCACUGUUAUUAUAGUUUCGGCGAUUCGAGAUGGGUGUGCGGCUGAUUAGGUAGUUGGCGGGGUAAAGGCCCACCAAGCCUUCGAUCAGUAGCUGAUGUGAGAGCAUGAUCAGCCACACGGGCACUGAGACACGGGCCCGACUCCUACGGGAGGCAGCAGUAAGGAAUAUUGGUCAAUGGACGCAAGUCUGAACCAGCCAUGCCGCGUGAAGGAUGGAGGUCCUCUGGAUUGUAAACUUCUUUUAUAGGGGGCGAAAAAAGGUCUUUCUAGAUCACUUGACAGUACCCUAUGAAUAAGCACCGGCCAACUCCGUGCCAGCAGCCGCGGUAAUACGGAGGGUGCAAGCGUUAUCCGGAUUCACUGGGUUUAAAGGGUGCGUAGGCGGGUAGGUAAGUCAGAGGUGAAAUCCUGGAGCCUAACUCCAGAACUGCCUUUGAUACUAUCUAUCUUGAAUAUGGUGGAGGUAAGCGGAAWWGUYMUGUAACGGUGAAAUGCAUAARAUAUGACGUAAAACACCUAUUGCGAARGCAGCUUACUACGCCUAWWUUGAUGCUGAGACACGAAAUCUUGKGGAUCCAAACMGGAUU
rnacentral:rRNA from 1 species